GACGAACGAUGGCGGCGUGCUUAACACAUGCAAGUCGAACGGAAAGGCCCUGCUUUUGUGGGGUGCUCGAGUGGCGAACGGGUGAGUAACACGUGAGUAACCUGCCCCUGACUUUGGGAUAACUUCAGGAAACUGGGGCUAAUACCGGAUAGGAGCUCCUGCUGCAUGGUGGGGGUUGGAAAGUUUCGGCGGUUGGGGAUGGACUCGCGGCUUAUCAGCUUGUUGGUGGGGUAGUGGCUUACCAAGGCUUUGACGGGUAGCCGGCCUGAGAGGGUGACCGGCCACAUUGGGACUGAGAUACGGCCCAGACUCCUACGGGAGGCAGCAGUGGGGAAUAUUGCACAAUGGGCGGAAGCCUGAUGCAGCAACGCCGCGUGCGGGAUGACGGCCUUCGGGUUGUAAACCGCUUUCGCCUGUGACGAAGCGUGAGUGACGGUAAUGGGUAAAGAAGCACCGGCUAACUACGUG
rnacentral:rRNA from 1 species